rnacentral:rRNA from 1 species
AAUAUUGCGCAAUGGAGGGAACUCUGACGCAGCGACGCCGCGUGAGCGAUGAAGGUCUUCGGAUCGUAAAGCUCUGUCCUUGGGGAAGAAGGUCUUCGGUCUUGACGGUACCGAAGGAGGAAGCCCCGGCUAACUACGUGCCAGCAGCCGCGGUAAUACGUAGGGGGCUAGCGUUGUCCGGAAUUAUUGGGCGUAAAGGGUGCGUAGGCGGCCUUUCAAGUCAGAUGUGAAAGACCACAGCUUAACUGUGGGAUUGCAUUUGAAACUAGAAGGCUUGAGUGUCGGAGAGGGUAGUGGAAUUCCCGGAGUAGCGGUAAAAUGCGUAGAUAUCGGGAGGAACACCAGUGGCGAAGGCGACUACCUGGACGACAACUGACGCUGAGGCACGAAAGCUAGGGGAGCAAAC